rnacentral:piRNA from 1 species
UGAAAGAAGGACUUAGUCCUACAGUGCCA